rnacentral:rRNA from 1 species
CCUACGGGAGGCAGCAGUGGGGAAUAUUGGACAAUGGGGGCAACCCUGAUCCAGCCAUGCCGCGUGUGUGAAGAAGGCCCGCGGGUUGUAAAGCACUUUCAGUGAGGAAGAACGCCUGGUGGUUAAUACCCAUCAGGAAAGACAUCACUCACAGAAGAAGCACCGGCUAACUCCGUGCCAGCAGCCGCGGUAAUACGGAGGGUGCGAGCGUUAAUCGGAAUUACUGGGCGUAAAGCGCGCGUAGGUGGCUUGAUAAGCCGGUUGUGAAAGCCCCGGGCUCAACCUGGGAACGGCAUCCGGAACUGUCAAGCUAGAGUGGAGGAGCGGAAGGUCGCAUUCCCAGUGUAGCGGUGCAAUGCGCAGAGAACGGGAAGAAUACCAGUGGCGAAGGCAGCCUUCUGGACUGACACUGACACUGAGGUGCGACAGCGUGGGUAGCGCACGGAAACAGACACCCUAGUAGUC